CACGUAGGGGCUAGCGUUGUCCGGAAUCAUUGGGCGUAAGAGCGUGUAGGCGGUCCGGUAAGUCCGCUGUGAAAGUCGGGGCUCAACCCUCGAAUGCCGGUGGAUACUGUCGGGCUAGAGUGCGGAAGAGGCGAGUGGAAUCCUGGUGGUAGCGGUGAAUGCGCAGAUAUCAGGAGGAACACCGGUGGCGAAGGCGGUCAUCUGGCCAAUACUGACGGCUGGAGGAGCGAAAGCGUGGGAGCGAACAGG
rnacentral:rRNA from 1 species